rnacentral:tRNA from 1 species
GGCGGCGUGGCCGAGUGGUUUUAGGGCGCUGGAUUUGAAAUCUGGAGGCCCCUGGUUCAAAUCCGCUCCACCCUGCCA